GCGGGAGCUCGGGCUGUGGCCAAAGCCUCAUGUUGGCAACAAAGCAAGAUGCCAGUCUCUCAGGAUCUGACAUCUCAAGAGAAUUUUGAAAAGCCUGUGUCCUAUACUAUUACAUUCCCAAAGGUCCCUUUAUGCAGAACAAGAACAAGAGGAAGUAUACUGAUUUGCAUUGACGUCCCAUGGAGAUUCUAGAAGCAAGGGAAUUUUUCACAUUUCCCUGGGUAGUACAAGAUCUCUCCGAGAACGGAAUGUCUAAGGAAUUACUGCCCUGUACAUUGGCCAAUCAGAUUUCCUGAAUAAUUGCUUAACAUUCCAUUUGCCUUAUUACAUUGUGUAUCGUUUUAAUUUCCUCCAGGUAAUCACAUGAUGGAUCUCUCAUGCACAUAAGGCACUCUUUUUCUCCUGCACAGCAGCUAUAAACAAAGAACAUGGAAUUCACUAGGAGAAAACAAAAAUGGAAGACUCCAAGUGUAUUAAACAAGCUUAAUUUGUUUGAACAUAGUUUAUACCCCUCAUCAUUCCCAGUGGUUUCCUAUUGUGAAAUGAUGCAUUUUGUUUUCAAAAUUACAAACUGGAGAUAAAAAGAAGGCAUUUUUUACUGUGAGGUCACAUUCCAAGGAUAUUAUCAUAUGUCUAUCACUUAUGUGCAGCUUUGAACAGAAGACAGACCCACUUUGUGUGCGUUUGUAUUUUUAGAACCAUGUGAUGGCAUAGCCAUCUUGAAAUUCUUUUCAAAGAAUUUGCUACUUGCUAAAAUUCUGUGAAACAUCCUGCCAAUCUGUCAUUUUGUCUAUAGAAUGCACAUUAAACUUUGUGACGUAUAAUUUUCUCAUGGGUUUGUCUCUCAAGCAUAAAAGUGUGU